CUGAUAGCUUGCUUGCAUACAGCAAGCUUAUUUCUGUGAUGGAGGAGUAUUAAAAUGUGAACAAGCUCAGCUCCUCCUAAAGGAAACUCAAGAAGAAGCCCCCAGAGCCUACUGAAAACACAGCUCACGGUUACAGCAAUGGUAGCUGGUUGUGUUUUACAGCUGCCACAGGAAGUUACCUGUAUAGACAGACACCGAUGGCUGGCAGGGCUGUGUGUAUCAACAGAGAAGCAUUGCCUGCCACCUAGUGCUCAGGCAGCAUUGCUGGGGCUGGCUUUAAUGCCACCGCCAAGGAGAUAAGGACAGGCUGAUUUCUGUAAGUUCUAGACAACUAGGCCUACAGAAUAAGACUGUCUCAAACAACAACAAACAAAACAAAAAUCCAAAACAAAAAAACAAGCCCAAAAAUAGAGAAAGGAGUAGUCUAAGAAACUUAUGCUAUGGUCUUAAUGCGUGUGCUUCUAUGACCCAGCAUUCGGAGUUAUUUAAAGUCUUUUUUUCAAAGAACAGGAACUUUGGGCCUUUAAUUGCCUUGUACAUAUUGGUUAAUUUUCUUCCAUUGUUGUUUUUGGGUCCUGGGUUCUUACUCAGGGCCUUGCACUUACUAAGGCACACAAUGCCACUGAACCGUGCCCCAGCCUCUACAGUUCCUCCUUCCCCGGGCUUUGAGUGUUUCAAGUGUUGUUAGCCAGGCCUCUGUUGGUUCAGUAAAGACAUCAACACUGCAGAGAUUCUUCCCAGCUAUUCGAUCUCUACACAAUGGAGAACUCUUAAUUACAUAUGAAACUUUAACAUUGUAAAUCCUACAGCUUUUACUCCUAUACACCUGUGUUUUCCAGUUUCCUACUUUUAUUUCAAUUCACAAUCAUAAGUGCUUUUACCUUUAAGUAUAGGGUUGUUCAUGGUUGAAGGCUUGGUGCUUCCUUCCUGUUCUCUCAUUUGCUAAUCUCUUCCUCUGUUGUUUCUGCUUGUGUGCUUGCAUUCUGUAUUAAGCUGCAGAAGAUAGCAAUCUCAUCUCAGGUUUUGGUGUUGCUGAGGGCUCCGAAAAGGUGGCAGAAGAUGAGUUUGACCCUAUUCCUGUACUAAUUACCAAAAACACACAAGGUAAGAAAGAGGCUGGAGAAAAGAGAAAGCUUGACAUCAGUUCUCAUCAAAGCAACGUCCCUAGCCUGCAUGGUGAAUGGGAGCAUCACCGUUUGGUGAAAGACAUCGGAUGAUGGCAGUCAGUGUAGGCUGGACCAGCAUGUGAGGCAGGUGGAGAUGCAGAGCUCUGUAGCUUAAACCUCACUGACUUGGAUUUACUUAGAGAAGACUUAGUUUUUAUGGAAUGUCAAGCCAAAAAGAAAGUCUUACUGGUUAGUAGAAGCCGGAAGGUCUAUGUCAGAAGUGUUGAAUAUUUUUAUCAUAAUUAGAAAAAUAUGUGAUAGAUACAGAUUCUGACCAGAGAGCUAAAUGGUGGCAUUUUGGUGUUGGCUGCAUCUGUCAACAUUAUGGAACAUCUCUUUUCUUCUUUGAGUCAUGUGAGCAUGCAUAAAACACCAAAACAUACCACUUAUUUAUUUUGAAAAGCAUGUUCAUAUUGCAAUAUCCUAAUAGCUAAUUUUCCCUAAAGUAAGUUAAUUUUUACUUAGUGAAAGAGAUGGCUGUCUAUUGGUAGUAGGCUAGCAUGGCAGCCAGAACUUCUUGGGCAAAAAUGUUGGUUUGGAACCAGCAGCAUCUCUGCAGUGUGCUGCCCCUAGUGUGGUGUGCAUGGAGUGAGCUUUCGGUGGGAGGUGGUAGCGCGGUGGUUAUAUUUAGAAAUCAACAUGUAAGACUUUUAAAUAUGAGAUGUUCCUUCUCUGGGUUUCUUUGUUUUCCUUUUUCUCCUUCACUUGCUCUGCACAUCUAACCCUAACCCUCUGUUUUGUACUGAAUCCUGUCUUUCCGCUUCCAGGUGGGCACUCUAGGAACAGCAGUGGGAGCUCUGAGUCCAGUCUUCCCAACCUAGCCAGGUCUUUGCUGCUGGUGGAUCAGCUCAUAGACCUGUAGCCGUGAGCCAGGAGCAGACACAGUUCUGUAACCUUCAUGCCGUAAUACACAUUUUCAUUACGGAGUUAUGAGAAAAAAAUGAUUUUUUUUUAAAUCUGCAAAUAAGGGGCCCUCAAGCUCCUUUCUCCUACCCCUUGCCUUCUCCUAUAGAAAUGAUAAGGAAAGAAAAAUCUCUGACCCUCCAGAUCCAUUCCUUGGCCGGCUCCUCUUGUUAGUUUGCUGUGUUUCCUCAUUCCCCAUCUUCAAUAGCAUUAUCUUAACUCAAGCGCUAAGUGCCCUGAGCUUCACCUCUGCUGGAAUCCACUCACAGAAGCUUGACUGUCACUCAGCCUGUGAUGGACACUUUUGUCUCAUUCUUGCUAGGAAUGGCCCCCAUGUCAGUCCUAUAGCCCGUCUCCCAGAUGCUGAUGAAUAUGUGUCCAUUCUUGCUUUUUAUCCUGAUGCAGUAUCAUGAGGACAUGGCAGCUAUGGCUGGUCUUACCUCCAGGCAGAAGUCUGGAGUCAGGUGUGCAGUUUAAACAGGGCAAAACCAAUAGGAUGUGUUUGUGAAGAGAAAGUGGGCUCAGCUCUAUCCAGCCAACUUUAAUCUUGUUUGAUAAUAGACUGAGCCAAGGGAUCUUGCACCCCAUGCAACCUUCUCGGUGUUUGUCUAGCUAUCUGGCUUCCAUUGAAUCGUGGUUUCUCAAAUCUGGAGGUGUGACUGCAAGCAUUUGAGAUCCUUGAAUAAAUGUGUAUGUGAU
rnacentral:lncRNA from 1 species